ensembl:lncRNA
AACAAAACUGCCUAGUUUCUUAGCUUGACCCAUGGAGACUCUGCUUUUCAUAAUAACACUGCUUAAGGAUACCAGAUCUUUUUAAAGCUGUUUUGAAGAUCAAAAAACCAUCUUUAGAGUUCAUUACUAUUAGCAAAACCUCAGUAACAAAAGUCUGAUCUUUGGUGGUGGAGAUGAGGGGGCAGAUGUGGAGAGAGAGGGAAAGGACGGUUAUUUACCGAGUUCUAAUUGCCGAGCACUGUGUCAGGGCUUCACCUGUUGCUUUCCCCAUCAACCACAUAUAGUUUAAAAGUGGGUCUUCAGAGCUCCAGGUCAAACAGCAGGCUCUUUAUUUCCAUUUCAGGAAUCCCCGUUGCCUCCUUUAAGAGACAAGAAGACCCACAAAUCCUGUCUCGCUGUUCCUAAGGUACAGAAACUGAAGUCAUUUUUCUCUUCCUUUCUUGGAAAAAUGCUGUUAUGUCUGCAGAGCAUAAGUCUGUAAAAACACAAAAAUUAAUAUAUCAUAUCCAUCUUCAAAGUAGCCAUAUUUGGGAAUAGGGAAACUACAGUGAGUAUUUUUCCUGCAGCAAAUCAGAGGCUAAUCCAGACGCCCAAGCCCCAGAAUGCACCUGUGUUCGGCAGCUGUAUCUGGGGAAGUCACCCAGCAUGAUCUACUGUGCUGGCUCUUUCCAAGAGGAGCCUCAGAAGGAAGGAGAAAAAUGUCUGAGGGCUCGUCUGGGGAGAAAUAAAAGAAAUAAUUGUUCUAAAAAAAAGGAGAAAUUGGUAUUUCACCGGCAGCCUAAGAUGCACAGAAGCACUUUAAACUCCUGUGGCUGGCAUCCGUCAUCUGAAAAUCACCAACUUGUUUAAAAAUCCCUCACCGGGGGAUUGUGCUGCUGCUGCCAGGCAGCCUGAAACCGAGUGUGUCUAGAUACUCAUAUGUCCUCGACGGGGGCCCUGGGGGACUCUGGUGUGCUGCGGCCUGAAUGCCUCUUGCCAACAUUCGUAUGGGAACGGCAGAACAAGAAACUCGAUUUCAGCACAAGUCAGCUGCUAUGGAGAAGGAGCCACGUGGAAGUGAGGUUUCGCCAUCAAGGUUUCAAUGAGCCCCAGGUGUACGGCAAAGGGGGAGGAUAUUUGCCCCAGACAAGGUCCCCUAUUGCAGUGCACACUGUUCCCGGUUCUGGCUUUCUUAACACAGAGACAAAAUGAUCCUGCCUGGAAACAACGCAAGUGUUGUGAUACACAGAGCUGUGGGGUGAUGGAAAUCAAACUAACAGUGGUUUAAGCCUUGAUGAAACUGAGCUAUGAUGAAACAUGGCACGAGGUGGUUUGGGAAGGGCUGCACAGGGGAAGAUGGAGCACAGCAACAGUGGGCUGAAGAUCUUUGCGUGUCUAGUCUGCUGCUGCUGCUGCUAAGUCGCUUCAGUCGUGUCCGACUCUGUGUGACCUCAUAGACAGCAGCCCAUUAGGCUCCUCUGUCCCUGGGAUUCUCCAGCUAAAGUGACUUGACUGAUCCAAGCAGGAUUUCUCAGUCAGAAAAGUAUAUGAGGGUCACCUCAACUAGACAGCUGCACAUGGAUCGAAGCCAAAAUGAGAGCCCGGAUGGGGGUCUCCACGUGAGAUACAGAUGAAAGAGGAGAGAGUUGAGAAAAACAAAACAAGCAGACCAGCACUGAGAAUAGGAAAAAGCUGCGUUUGUACCAGCCUCCCUAGUGAGAUGCUGUGAGCUCCUGGACAGUAAACAUCUCAUCUAUCCCAUCUUCUCUCAGUACCUCACACACAGCUUUUCAUACAGCAAGAGCUUUUCAUACAGCAAGAGCUCAAAAAAAAAAAAAAAAAAAAAGGUUGGAUUAAUUUGAAUCAGUUCCAGAAGUCUUUACAUGUAAAAGCUAUUUAUGAAUGUUCCUUAUGACUUGAAAAUGGAGAGGCUAUAACUUAAACCCAUGUACCAUUAGAGAGUGAACCCCCUAAUUAGCUCAAAAAAGUGGACACCAAAUAUGGACAAAGAGGCAGAGAAAGACUAAUAAAAUACUGAAUAGGACUGUCCUAACUGCAACAACAUUACUUUGCCAACAAAGUUUCGUCUAGUCAAGGCUAUGGUUUUUCCUGUGGUCAUGUAUGGAUGUGAGAGUUGGACUGUAAAGAAAGCUGAACACCAAAGAGUUGAUGCUUUUGAACUGUGGUGUUGGAGAAGACUCUUGAGAGUCCCUUGGACUGCAAGGACGUCCAACCAGUCUAUCCUAAAAGAGAUCAGUCCUGGGUGUUCAUUCGACAGACUGAUGCUGAAGCUGAAACUCCAAUACUUUGGCCACCUGAUGUGAAGAGUUGACUCAUUGGAAAAGACCCUGAUGCUGGGAGGGAUUGGGGGCAGGAGGAGAAGGGGACGACAGAGGAUGAGAUGGCUGGAUGGCAUCACCGACUUGAUGGACAUGAGUUUGGGUAGACUCCAGGAGUUGGUGAUGGACAGGGAGACCUGACGUGCUGUGAUUCAUGGGGUCGCAAAGAGUCAGACACGACUGAGCGAUUGAACUGAACUGAACUGAAUUGCAACAAUACAACAUUGUUCCUGUGGAGGCUGCCAACUAUGACUGCAUUUGGUCAGAGAGGAACAGGCCCCCCGUUCCUGCCAGUAUCUGUAGGUGGCCUCUUAAAAACUUGGAGUGGAAUAGAUGAGGCAAAGAUUUAGUCUGUCUCAGACUGGGCAGUUUCUCAGCCUUAGUGUAUUCUUGGCCACU